rnacentral:tRNA from 1 species
GAGUCCGUAGCUCAGUUGGAUUAGAGCGCCUCCCUGCGAAGGAGGAGGUCGUGCGUUCGAGUCGCACCGGGCUCA